CGGACGGAGGCGGCCGGGGAGCGCGGCGGGCGGCCCGCGGUGGAGGAGCAGCUGCGGAGCCUGCUGGAGGCCCGGCAGCGGCGGCUGCGAGCCCGGAUCGCCGCCUGCGAGAAGCUCACGGCGGAGAUGGGAGCGCUCCUGGACGCGCUCCGGGCUCCCCCUGCCCUGCUCCCACCGCCGCCUCGCCCGGCGCCCGGCCCGGCUGGAGGAGCCCGCCCGCCUUCCCCUUCCCUGGUACCGGGAGAGCCGGAGCGAUAGCAGGCGCUUCCCACAGCUGUGGCCUUGGAGCUCGCGUUGUCCUGCGGCACCGAUACCUUAUCUCACCCAGCUUACCCUUCAAAGCAAAGCGGGAUGGGCUCUGUCUGUACCUCGUGCGUGUGCCCGGGUCUGCUGCUUACAGGAGGAGGUGCGGCCUUGAACAGAUCCCACCGGUUUGUCCAAGCAUGGACUCUUCCCUUGGCUGUUCACAGGAUCAGGGUUUGGGAAUGAUCCGCUACACCGUGGGGAGGCUGGAGAGGAACAAACGCUCUGUGCUGUGGGCAGCGACUCGGUCCUGACUAUCCCUACAGUCCCAAAGUCAGAGAUGCAUCAUCCAAGACAUGCACAAGCUACAGAGGGCCCAACUCAGAGGUUUGGGGUGGGAUGGGCUUUUUUUGCCACAUGGAAAUAUUUUGCCACGCUGAAAGCUUGAUUUACUCAGAUUGAGGGAAGAUUAGGAGAUUCAGUCUGUUUUCCUUAUCGACACUAUCUUUCUGCAAAGCUCCUCUUCUUACCAAGGACCACUUAGUACCUAAAACUUUCAGAGCUGCAAUGCUGAAGCUCUCAUGUUAACCAAAGGAAGAGUUGCCUUUCUCCCUGCCCCUGCAGCAUCAGCUGGCUCCUGCCACCUUAUGGCACCUAGACGGGUGUUUGCGUGAAGGGGACCAGGCAAGCCUCUCCCCUCUACAGAAAUUAAGAACUUUAACAUUAACAACUUCUGCUCCAACUCCUGAGGAUAUGGAGUUCAUGAAGGGCAGUGCAGGUGGGGAGGGAGGAUUUGGAAAUACCUUCACAUCCUGAUCAGUUCCUAAGGGGGCAGGGGAAGGAUCCUCACACAUCUCCCCCAAGAACUCAUAAAUACUGUUAGGAAAGACUAUUAUAACACAAUGUUUAAAUAAGCAUUUAAUUAGGAUUCCAUUAGUAUUAAUAUUGCUUUCAAUUCCAAAAAAGUUAAUUUCCACUUCUUUGCAGAUAUUUCAAAGUACAAUAUUAACUUCAUACAAAAUGAGCAAUUAAGCAAACACCAUUAUUUCACAUUUUACAUUCUUCAAAAAAUACAAAUUCAUAUUUACUCUUUGUUUGGGGGUUUUGGAGAUGCUCUUCCUUUGGAAGUACUGUACCUGUAACUAACAUCUUCACAUUGCUCAAUGUAAGCACAUUUUUUUUUUUUUCCCAUGUUUCAUAGUUAAAUAAAUUCCUUUAAUACCCA